rnacentral:tRNA from 1 species
UGCAUCGGCCGGGAAUCGAACCCAGGUCGCCCGCGUGGCAGGCGAGCAUUCUACCACUGAACCACCGAUGG